ACGACGGAGGUGGGGACGUCAAGCGGGGACCGCCGGUGACAAACCGGAGGAAGGUGGGGACGGACGUCAAGUCAUCAUGGCCCUUACUGUCCUGGGCUACACACGUGCUACAAUGGCCGGUACAGAGCGCAGCGAGGCCGCGAGGCGGAGCGAAUCGCUUAAAGCCGGUCCCAGUACGGAUUGGAGUCUGCAACCCGACUCCAUGAAGUUGGAAUCGCUAGUAAUCGCGCAUCAGCAUGGCGCGGUGAAUACGUUCCCGGGCCUU
rnacentral:rRNA from 1 species